UACGUAGGGGGCAAGCGUUGUCCGGAUUUACUGGGCGUAAAGAGCGUGUAGGCGGCCAGGCAGGUCCGUUGUGAAAACUCGAGGCUCAACCUCGAGACGUCGAUGGAAACCGUCUGGCUAGAGUCCGGAAGAGGAGAGUGGAAUUCCUGGUGUAGCGGUGAAAUGCGCAGAUAUCAGGAAGAACACCUAUGGCGAAGGCAGCUCUCUGGGACGGUACUGACGCUGAGACGCGAAAGCGUGGGGAGCGAACAGG
rnacentral:rRNA from 1 species